UAGCGUAUAUUAAAGUUGUUGCAGUUAAAACGCUCGUAGUCGGAUUUCGGGGCGGGCCUGCCGGUUUGCCGAUGGGUAUGUACUGGUGGGUGCGUCCUUCCUUCCGGAGACCGCGCCUCUUCUUAACUGAAUGGGCGCGGGAGACGGAUCGUUUACUUUGAAAAAAUCAGAGUGUUUCAAGCAGGCAUGUCGCUUUUGCAUGGAUUAGCAUGGGAUAAUGAAAUAGGACUUUGGUGCUAUUUUGUUGGUUUCGAACACCGAAGUAAUGAUUAACAGGGACAGUCAGGGGCACUCGUAUUCCGCAGAGAGAGGUGAAAUUCUCAGACCCGCGGAAGACGAACCACUGCGAAAGCAUUUG
rnacentral:rRNA from 1 species